rnacentral:rRNA from 1 species
UACGGAAGGGGCAAGCGUUGUUCGGAAUCAUUGGGCGUAAAGGGCGCGUAGGUGGUUCUGUAUGUCUACCGUGAAAGCGUACGGCUCAACCGUAUUUUGUCGGUGGAAACUGCAGGACUUGAGGCUGGGAGGGGCUGGUGGAAUUCCCUGUGUAGCGGUGAAAUGCGUAGAGAUGGGGAGAACACUCGUGGCGAAGGCGGCCAGCUAGACCAGUUCUGACACUGAGGCGCGACAGCGUGGGGAGCAAACAGG